UACGAAGGGUGCAAGCGUUACUCGGAAUUACUGGGCGUAAAGCGUGCGUAGGUGGUUUGUUAAGUCUGCUGUGAAAGCCCCGGGCUCAACCUGGGAAUGGCAGUGGAUACUGGCAAGCUAGAGUGCGGUAGAGGGGUGUGGAAUUCCCGGUGUAGUGGUGGAAUGCGUAGAUAUCGGGAGGAACACCAGUGGCGAAGGCGGUUGCCUGGAGCUUUGCUGACGCUGAUGCGCGAAAGCGUGGGGAGCGAUCCGG
rnacentral:rRNA from 1 species